UUGGAGAGUUUGAUGGUGGCUCAGGGCGAACGCUAGCGGUGUGGAUAAGGCAUGCAAGUCGAGCGGAGGGAAGUAGGUCAAGCCGAAAGGUUUGACCGACGCCCUCAGCGGCGAACGGGUGAGUAACGCGUGCCUAACCUGCCCCGCAGAGUGGAAUAACCCCGGGAAACUGGGGCUAAUUCCACAUACGCUCCACAUGGCGCAUGCCAUGUGGAGGAAAGGGUUGGACGAGGAGUCCUUCCGCUGCGGGAGGGGGGCGCGUCCCAUCAGCUUGUUGGUGGGGUAACGGCCCACCAAGGCUACGACGGGUAGCGGGCCUGAGAGGGUGGUCCGCCACACCGGGACUGAGACACGGCCCGGACCCCUACGGGGGGCAGCAGUCGAGGAUCUUGGGCAAUGGGCGAAAGCCUGACCCAGUGACACCGCGUGGGGGAAGAAGCCCUGCGGGGUGUAAACCCCUGUGGCAGGGGAAGAAAGCCCAAGUUUCCCUUGGGCUUGACGGUACCCUGCUAGAAAGCCCCGGCUAACUGCGUGCCAGCAGCCGCGGUAAUACGCAGGGGGCGAGCGUUGCCCGGAUUUACUGGGCUUAAAGGGCCCGUAGGCGGUUGCCUAAGUCCCAUGUGAAAGCCUCAGGCUCAACCUGAGGAGGACAUGGGAUACUGGGCAACUUGAGGGCGGAAGAGGCCGGCGGAACGGCGGGUGUAGCGGUGAAAUGCGUAGAUAUCCGCCGGAACACCAAUGGCGAAGGCAGCCGGCUGGGACGCCCCUGACGCUGAGGGACGAAACCCUGGGGAGCGAACCGGAUUAGAUACCCGGGUAGUCCAGGGUGUAAACGUUGUGCGCUAGGUGUGGGGAGUUUUACUCUCCCUGUGCCGUAGGGCAACCAUUAAGCGCACCGCCUGGGGAGUACGGCCGCAAGGCUGAAACCCAAACCAAUUGACGGGGGCCCGCACAAGCGGUGGAGCAUGCGGCUUAA
rnacentral:rRNA from 1 species